UUAGCGGCGGACGGGUGAGUAACACGUGGGUAACCUGCCUGUAAGACUGGGAUAACUCCGGGAAACCGGAGCUAAUACCGGAUAGUUCCUUGAACCGCAUGGUUCAAGGAUGAAAGACGGUUUCGGCUGUCACUUACAGAUGGACCCGCGGCGCAUUAGCUAGUUGGUGAGGUAACGGCUCACCAAGGCGACGAUGCGUAGCCGACCUGAGAGGGUGAUCGGCCACACUGGGACUGAGACACGGCCCAGACUCCUACGGGAGGCAGCAGUAGGGAAUCUUCCGCAAUGGACGAAAGUCUGACGGAGCAACGCCGCGUGAGUGAUGAAGGUUUUCGGAUCGUAAAGCUCUGUUGUUAGGGAAGAACAAGUGCAAGAGUAACUGCUUGCACCUUGACGGUACCUAACCAGAAAGCCACGGCUAACUACGUGCCAGCAGCCGCGGUAAUACGUAGGUGGCAAGCGUUGUCCGGAAUUAUUGGGCGUAAAGGGCUCGCAGGCGGUUUCUUAAGUCUGAUGUGAAAGCCCCCGGCUCAACCGGGGAGGGUCAUUGGAAACUGGGAAACUUGAGUGCAGAAGAGGAGAGUGGAAUUCCACGUGUA
rnacentral:rRNA from 1 species